UCGAUAACCGAUUUUAAAUAUCCGCCUCAAGUUUUCCCCCUCGUUUUCUCUCGCAGGUUUAUCUUUCGAACGCGCGCAGUUGUUGUCUUCGUUGCACUUGUUCCUCGUCGUUGGCCAUUCAUCUUCGUUCAUCUUGUUCUCUUCGUUGUAGCUGUUCAUCGUGAGAGCUCGGUUUGGAGUUUAGGUGGAGGAGGGUUUUGAGGGCGGAGAGGGAGGCGCGGACGGCGGAGAAGGGUUUCCUCUGUUGUGUUCUUCUAUGGUAAUCUUGUGGCUUUGCUCUGAAGUUGUUAGACACUGUUAGGAGAAAUCGAGAAGGCACAGAGCUUCACUGCCUCAAGGUGCAAGAGGCAGAUAUUGAUAAAUCAGUUCAAAAGCGAAGAAAAAGACAGGAACAGGUUCUAGAAUCCAAGGAAACAACAAAACUACGAAGCAUAGAUCAUAACUUAUGGAUCAAAGUUGGUUAUUGGAUCGAAGUUGGAUACGAGCGCCACGCAUAAGUGAGCAAUAUGAGACUGGAGUGAAAUAUUUUAUUGAAUAUGUAAUACGGAAUGUUGAUGAUGAUAUGAAUGGAAAGUUUUUCUGCCCUUGUGUUAAUUGUUGUAAUGGGAGUCGUUUAGAACUUGAUGUUAUAAGGGAACAUCUUCUAUGUGAUGGGUUUCUUAAGAAUUAUACACAUUGGAUAUGGCAUGGUGAACCAGUUGGUGGAGCUAAAGGUCUCUCAAGUUAUAGCAACUUAUGAGCAAAAAUUUAGUCAGAUGCAAGAGGAGAUUCAUAAGCGACUACAAAAGGACAUGCAAAGGAAACUACAAGAGCAUAUGCAAUCACUGAGCCAACAAUUUCAACAAAGUGCUCCACUAUUAGAACCAUUUAUUGCACGUGUGAGUACAAAGGGAUCAUGUGCAUCUAUUGAUCCCCCUUUUACUGCCACUAGCCCAGGUACAUCUAAUAAAUGUGAGUUGUUU